rnacentral:misc_RNA from 1 species
GUGAUUUUACCCUGCUCAUUCUCACCCCUAGCUGUGGCUCUUUCCUUUCAUUUGCCAGCUACCAGCUGCUACUCUAGAAAAGGGGUAAACAAACCAUAUUGAUAAUCUGUUUCAGUCUCUGUCCUUCAUUGCUGUAUAAACACUUCUUGCUACUGAAAUUGUUCUUGUAAUAUAUUCACUACUUGGAUUUUAAGGCAACAAACAGGAUCGACCAUGAUUCAAACAAGUGCAGGCUUUCGCGGUUUGGUUCAAUCUCAGAGACUUGGUUCUUUUCAAUCAAAGCUUGGAGCUUGCUAUAAUUAUGCAUCUGGUGCUGCAUCUUCUCUGCAGCAUGCAUGUGAGCCAUCAACUUACAGUGACGGUGACUAUGCUGAUGUGGAUUGGGAUAAUCUUGGAUUCGGUCUCUUGCCAACUGAUUACAUGUACAGGAUGAAAUGUUUUAAGGAUGGGAAGUUUGAACAAGGACAACUAAGUCGCUAUGGAAACAUUGAGUUGAGCCCUUCUGCAGGAGUCUUAAAUUAUGGGCAGGCAAGCUGCUUUUGAUUUCAAUUUUCUUAUAUUCAAAUUACUAAAACAUGGGAAAUUCCUGAAAUUGUUUACUUGCAAAUCUGGUCAGGGACUCUUUGAAGGCACAAAAGCAUAUAGAAAAGAAAAUGGAUGCCUUCUUCUAUUUCGUCCGGAUCAAAAUGCAAUCCGAAUGAAGAUUGGUGCUGAAAGAAUGUGCAUGCCUUCUCCUUCCAUUGAUCAAUUCGUCGAUGCAGUGAAACAAACUGCCCUUGCUAACAAGCGCUGGGCGCCUCCUCCAGGGAAAGGAACAUUAUAUAUUAGGCCAUUGCUGAUGGGUACUGGUCCUGUAUUGGGUUUAGCACCAGCACCUGAAUACACAUUCCUUGUAUAUGCUUCCCCUGUUGGCAACUACUUCAAGGAGGGCUUGGCACCAUUGAAUUUAUAUGUUGAGGAUGAGUACCAUCGCGCUUCUCGUGGUGGAGCUGGAGGUGUGAAAACAAUUAGCAAUUAUGCUCCAGUUUUGAAAGCAAUAACUAAAGCAAAGAACAGGGGAUUUUCUGAUGUCCUGUACCUUGACUCUCUGAAUAAGAAAUAUUUGGAGGAAGUCUCUUCUUGUAACAUUUUCAUCGUGAAGGGCAAUGUUAUUUCAACUCCUGCUACAAAUGGUACUAUUCUUUCUGGGGUCACUCGAAAAAGCAUCAUAGAAAUUGCUCAAGAUCUUGGCUAUGAGGUUGAGGAACGUGUAAUUUCUGUGGAUGAAUUGGUAAAUGUCGAUGAAGUUUUUUGCACUGGAACUGCUGUAGUCAUUGCUCCGGUUGGCAGUAUUACAUAUCAAGAUAAAAGAAUCGAAUACAGAACGGGUGCUUACUCUCUAUCCCGGAAGCUGUACUCAACUCUUGUAGGAAUUCAGAUGGGAUUGAUUGAGGAUAAGAAGGGCUGGACUUUGGAGAUACGUUAAGCUAGUUUCAAUGAACCAAAACAGGAAUGUACAGAAAAAAUUAUCUAAUUGCUUGUCAAUAAAUAGCAAAAACCUUUCAAUCAUAUGUUAUGUCAAUUUAUUUCCUAUAGGACUGAUGAACAAGAAAUGAAAAGAGCUUCUUUAUAAUAUAAAUCAAUUAAAUGCUUGAAGGCAAUUGUGAUUUUCUUUCUGACAGUAAGGGUAUCUAUCAAUAGUGAUUUAGGAGAAAUACUUGGAAGGAAUUAUUUAUUGAGUGCAAGUUCUUUGGUUGGCAGCUGGUAGAUAAGAUAUUUUAUGACAAUAGUGUACCUUCUAUUGCUGAGCAAAAGUGAACCAAGAAUUGGGAUAGUGAUGCUUGAA